AUUGAACGCUGGCGGCAUGCUUUACACAUGCAAGUCGAACGGCAGCGCGGGGGCAACCCUGGCGGCGAGUGGCGAACGGGUGAGUAAUGCAUCGGAACGUAUCCUGUAAUGGGGGAUAACGUAGCGAAAGUUACGCUAAUACCGCAUACGCUCGAGAGAGGAAAGUGGGGGAUCGCAAGACCUCACGUUAUAGGAGCGGCCGAUGUCCGAUUAGCUAGUUGGUGGGGUAAAGGCCUACCAAGGCGACGAUCGGUAGCUGGUCUGAGAGGAUGAUCAGCCACACUGGGACUGAGAUACGGCCCAGACUCCUACGGGAGGCAGCAGGCGGGAAUAUUGGGCAAUGGACGAAAGUCUGACCCAGCGACGCCGCGUGAGGGAUGAAGCUUCUCGGAGCGUAAACCUCAAACGGAUAGGGACGAAAAGCCUAUCGGCUAAUAUCCGGUAGGCCUGACGGUACCUGUUACGAAGCUCCGGCUAACUCCGUGCCAGCAGCCGCGGU
rnacentral:rRNA from 1 species